rnacentral:lncRNA from 1 species
UUGGUAUUGUCUUUAAUUGAUUACUUUGAUUGAUUCCGCACUAUCCGGGAUUCUCGAUACUAACAACCGUUCUCAAUUGUAAGAGUUUAGAAUAAGAUAGUUUGACGGCUAAGAUUAUAAGUCAAACACAUCGACAGACAUCUCAACUUAGCACCAUCUUUCACUUUGGUAUCUUAAAUGGACGAUAUUCAUUUUAAACACCUAAAAUAACCAUAACGCCUUUAGAUCAAAAGCUCAAUCAAUAGAGAAGCCUAGCACCUCGAAUUUAAAGCUCAAAGUGUAGACACAUAAUUUCGUCCCUCCCUGAUAUCAUUUUACCCAUUUUUACCUUAUCCUACCCAUGUAAUUACAUCCCACAAAAAUACAAAAAAUAACUCUCAACAAAAUCACUAACAAACUUUUAUUCUUUUAAACAUCCUAACAACCCUUUCAAUUAAAAGAAGACACAUUACCCAUACCCCUACCCCCAACACCCCAUACCCACGUGACCUCCUCCUCCUCAUAUUUCUUGUCCACAAAGGCAAAAAGAGAAAAACAUUAGAAAGGGACCCCACUAGGAAACUUUCAGGAAAGCCCACAAGGAACCAUUUUGUUUUAAGGGGAUGAAAUACAAUAUAUUCACACUCUCACAAAUAAAAAGGACCCACACGAUAUAAUUUCCACAGGCUCUACUCACAAUUGACACUGAUCUUCUCCAAAGAACGCAUAGACACUUCCACACUCUCUUGGAUUUUUUACUCAAUUCACUGGUAAACAAAAAAGAAAAUAAGGACUCCAUUUCUGUUUCUUGUUUUCUUCUUCAGAGAUACGCACACAACAACACUCGAAUUUCCCAUAGAAGGACUGAUUUCCUUCCAAUAGCAUAGACCCUCAAAGUCAUCUUCUUCACAUAUAUACCCAGACCACCGAAAAAGAAAAAAAUAGACUGAAAACUGAAGAGGGGUGAUCGGAAUAGGGGACUGGUGCGAGGUUCGAUCCUUCUCCAAGCUUUUUUUGGUGAAAACUUUCACCAGAAUUGAUUUUAGUUCAUCGUUCGGUUGACCAGUUCAAGAAGAAUCCAAAUUUCUUCAUUUUUCUUUAAUUUCUAAGGGAAUCUGGCCGGAAACGUUAAGUUUUGGCCAGAAAAC